rnacentral:rRNA from 1 species
CCUACGGGUGGCAGCAGUGAGGAAUAUUGGUCAAUGGGCGCGAGCCUGAACCAGCCAAGUCGCGUGAGGGCGGACGGCCCUACGGGUUGUAAACCUCUUUUGCCGGGGAGUAACGGGCGUCACGUGUGGCGCCACUGAGAGUACACGGAGAAAAAGCAUCGGCUAACUUCGAGCCAGCAGCCGUGGUAAUACGGAGGAUGCGUGCGUUAUUCGGAUUUCAUGGGUUUAAAGGGUGCGUAGGCGGAUCGUUAAGUCAGUAGACAAAUUGAGGGGCUCAACCCCUUCCCGCCAUUGAAACUGGCGUUCUUGAGUGGAAGAGAAGUGUGCGGAAUGCGUGGUGUAGCGGUGAAAUGCAGAGAGAUCACGCAGAACCCCGAUUGCGAAGGCAGCAUGCCGGCUUCCGACUGACGCUGAAGCACGAAAGCGUGGGGAUCGAACAGGAUUAGAUACCCGAGUAGUC